ACUCCUACGGGAGGCAGCAGUAGGGAAUCUUCGGCAAUGGGGGCAACCCUGACCGAGCAACGCCGCGUGAGUGAAGAAGGUUUUCGGAUCGUAAAGCUCUGUUGUAAGUCAAGAACGAGUGUGAGAGUGGAAAGUUCACACUGUGACGGUAGCUUACCAGAAAGGGACGGCUAACUACGUGCCAGCAGCCGCGGUAAUACGUAGGUCCCGAGCGUUGUCCGGAUUUAUUGGGCGUAAAGCGAGCGCAGGCGGUUUGAUAAGUCUGAAGUUAAAGGCUGUGGCUCAACCAUAGUCCGCUUUGGAAACUGUCAAACUUGAGUGCAGAAGGGGAGAGUGGAAUUCCAUGUGUAGCGGUGAAAUGCGUAGAUAUAUGGAGGAACACCGGUGGCGAAAGCGGCUCUCUGGUCUGUAACUGACGCUGAGGCUCGAAAGCGUGGGGAGCGAACAGGAUUAGAAACCCUAGUAGUCCCAUG
rnacentral:rRNA from 1 species